rnacentral:rRNA from 1 species
CGUAGAGAAAAAAGGCAAAAGCGCGCUAAACUGCGAGACCCCCAAGUCGAGCAGGUACGAAAGUAGGUCUUAGUGAUCCGGUGGUUCUGUAUGGAAGGGCCAUCGCUCAACGGAUAAAAGGUACUCUGGGGAUAACAGGCUGAUACCGCCCAAGAGUUCAUAUCGACGGCGGUGUUUGGCACCUCGAUGUCGGCUCAUCUCAUCCUGGGGCUGAAGCAGGUCCCAAGGGUAUGGCUGUUCGCCAUUUAAAGGGGUACGCGAGCUGGGUUUAGAACGUCGUGAGACAGUUCGGUCCCUAUCUACCGUGGGCGCUGGAAAUUUGAGAGGAUCUGCUCCUAGUACGAGAGGACCAGAGUGGACGAACCUCUGGUGUACCGGUUGUGACGCCAGUCGCAUCGCCGGGUAGCUAUGUUCGGAAGGGAUAACCGCUGAAAGCAGCUAAGCGGGAAGCCUACCUCAAGAUAAGAUUUCCCCGAGGCUUUAUGCCUCCUAAAGAGCCGUUGAAGACUACGACGUUGAUAGGUUGGAUGUGGAAGCAUAGCGAUAUGUGAAGCUGACCAAUACUAAUUGCUCGUGAGGCUUGACUAUACAACACCCAAACAGUUG